UUAUGUCUAAACAAAUCCCCAGUGCUGCAGGCCACUCUGGGAGGUGGUCUUCCAGUUUGUAAGACUAGGCUCUUACUUUUAGCAGAAGUCUCUAGUCAUGUAGGGUAUCACUUGUGCCUUUGUAAUGCAGAGGAGACUGUUUUUGACUUUUCUCUUCGAAGGUGUCGGGAAUGCAAGGUUUGGCUGUGGCAGGGGCUUUCAGCAUGAAGUCUUUCCUAACAGUUUCUUCUCACAGUUCUGCCUUGUGGAGAUCUCUGUAAUAAAGGAUGAAGCUCUUCAUUCAGCAAAGCCCAAUUUCCACUUCAUUCUGUAUGUUAAAUGAAAUUAUUCCAUUUUGGUGCAUGGGAGUCGGGGGCAUUCGUGCUCUGAGCCGUUUGUUUGAGCCUGUCUGCAAAUUCAGGCAGAAAGCACUGCUGGAAAUCCACUUGUCACAGCCAGAAAGUCUUCGCCUGUUGUUUCGAAGAGUAAAAGCAUCCUUCCUGGAUGACAAUGGCAGGUGAAAGGUGAACAGCGUAAGGCACUGCUGCUCUCUGAAUCUAGGCAGCUGUGGCUUUCUAAGGCAAUGGACUUGGCCAGGAUUUCUCAACACCACCUGUGUCUGCAACCCUUUGGCAUAGUUGAAAGCCUUGAGAUGUACUGAAAGCCUUAAAUCAUCCAGGUACGGACUGUUUCAGCUCUUGCCACAGGCAUCUGAUUAGGUCACUAGGUCUUCUGCUGAGGAAAACAAAUGAACAAGGGUUGGGGAUCUUUAGCGAGGGGAGAAUUUGAGACAGAAUGUACUUGUCUCUAGUGCGAUUUAUGUUCCAGUGGAUAAUGCUAAUCAAGGUACCUUGCAGGAGUGAAUUAUCC
rnacentral:lncRNA from 1 species